rnacentral:tRNA from 1 species
GGAGGGUUGGCUGAGUGGUCGAAAGUACCUCACUGCUAACGAGGCGUCCUUUUACCGGGACCGAGGGUUCGAAUCCCUCACCCUCCG